CUCAAUUAUUGGCAAACCUAUAAUACAUACUUUUUUGGGUAUACCUACCUCUGGCGUAGUUAUAAUGACCAUAUUAUAUGCGAUAGUGUAUUUCACGGCGACGGUCAGUUAAUUGGUCAUUCAGUGAAGAUAAAUCACCGGUCAAAAACCAUUGACGGUUCAAUCGGGUAUACCGCUAGAGCGCCAUAGAUUUCUAUUUAAUCGUAUCUGGUGAAACGUACAAACAUUGAAUAUAAAAAAGAAAUACAUCAGGGGUUCCCAAUGGCGCGGCAUCUUAUUUAAACCAACAUUUGGUGCCCUUCCACAAGUCAUAUCAAAAUGUUCAAUAUUUAUAGCUAAGGACUGAAAACUUACAACAAGGUUCCACUUAUUUUAUGUUCAAAUUUUAACAUAAACCGUCAACCACAGAGCCUUGUCUGAAAAUGUCCGUCAACAGUUCAAAACAAGUCAAAAUAUUUUGAAUAUUUUAUGGUCUAUAGCAAAUGCUAAUAUAAAUGUUUAGAAAAAUUGCAUGUAUCUAUGUUGGUCAUUUAUACUAGCGUUACGCCAAAAAACCGAUUUUGCGUAAAAAUGUCCGUUUUUCUUAAUUUUUAUGUUGUUUUUUCCCGGUGCUUUAGAAAAUUAUGGGAAAUUUUAAAUGUUGACCUCCCAAAUGCACCAACUAGAUUCUCUUUCCCAUCGAACAAGAUACUGUUGAAGAAAAUCGAAGAAGUUGCACUAACCCAAACGGCGGUGACAGACACACACACAAAAAAAACACACAUCAUUGUAAAAUCAAUACAUUUAUCACUCCGCUCAGAACUUAAUAAUAUGUUAAUAUUGAGACGGUUUUUUAUAAUUUUAUAAUUUUAUAUUUUCAAAUUAUAAUACACUAAAUUAUCGUUCACUAAAAUAAACGAUAUUUUAUAAUGGUUAUUUGUAUAUAUUCAGUUGUAUUUGUAGUAUGAUGUGGAUUUGAGAGGAGAUGCUUGAUUCAUAUUUAAAAAAUAUA